GAAGCAUCGCAACAACGGAAAGUAUGACUGCUGAGCACAUAAUUGCGCGGAAACGUGUUUUUGGUGCAUGGAAUUCGCCGAGUAUUGUUUGACAUUUCAUCAUGGAAAGACUUACGCCUGAACAACGUUCAUAAAUCGUUCAAUUUUAUUGCGAAUAUUCACUUUCUGUAAAGAAUGUGUUCCCCGAACUUCGCCCAACUAUUUAUUACUAUUCGCAACACCAUCACUUAUCUUGAGAUCCAGCAUUCAUAAUUGAAUAAUAUUCGACCGAAUAGACCACGACCAGCACGCAGUGAAGAAAAUAUAGCAGCCGUAGCUGAGAGUGUACACGAAGACGGUGAAAAGAUUCAAGAGCUGCCAUUUCAUUCAGAAAACGUAACGGUUUGGUGCGACAUUUGGUUUCAACAAGGCGGCGCCACUUCCCACACAUCGCAUCAAUCAAUGGAUUUAUUUAGAGAACACUUUGGUGAGCAGAUAAUUUCAUGUUUUGGGCCGUUCGAUUGGCCAUCAAGAUCGUCUGAUAUCACACCGUUGGAAUUUUUCCUGUGGGGACACGUAAAGUCUAAAGUUUAUGCGGACAAUCCCGCUUCGGUUAAUGACUUCAAGCCAAACAUCAUGCGUGUCAUUCGCCAGUCAAUGCUCGAACGAGUUAUCGAAAAUUGGACUCAACGAAUGGACCGUCUGAGAUGUAGCCGCGGACAACAUUUGAAAAACAUAACUUUCAAAAAAUAAAUGCCAAAGAAUGUUCUUUCGAAUGAUAAUAAACAUUCCCCAAUAAGUUUGAA